rnacentral:rRNA from 1 species
ACGAACGCUGGCGGCGUGCUUAACACAUGCAAGUCGAACGGAAAGGCCCUGCUUUUGUGGGGUGCUCGAGUGGCGAACGGGUGAGUAACACGUGAGUAACCUGCCCUUGACUUUGGGAUAACUUCAGGAAACUGGGGCUAAUACCGGAUAGGAGCUCCUGCUGCAUGGUGGGGGUUGGAAAGUUUCGGCGGUUGGGGAUGGACUCGCGGCUUAUCAGCUUGUUGGUGGGGUAGUGGCUUACCAAGGCUUUGACGGGUAGCCGGCCUGAGAGGGUGACCGGCCACAUUGGGACUGAGAUACGGCCCAGACUCCUACGGGAGGCAGCAGUGGGGAUUAUUGCACAAUGGGCGGAAGCCUGAUGCAGCAACGCCGCGUGCGGGAUGACGGCCUUCGGGUUGUAAACCGCUUUCGCCUGUGACGAAGCGUGAGUGACGGUAAUGGGUAAAGAAGCACCGGCUAACUACGUG